rnacentral:rRNA from 1 species
GACGAACCGUCCUAACGUUGUUCGGAAUCACUGGGCUUAAAGGGCGCGUAGGCGGCUUGCCAAGUCAGGGGUGAAAUCCUGCAGCUUAACUGUAGAAGGGCCUUUGAUACUGGCAAGCUCGAGGGAGGUAGGGGUAUGUGGAACUUCCGGUGGAGCGGUGAAAUGCGUUGAUAUCGGAAGGAACGCCGGUGGCGAAAGCGGGUCUCUGGGCCGUAACUGACGCUGAGGAGCGAAAGCGUGGGGAGCGAACAGG